CACGGUUGUGGCUAAGGAACAUACAUGGGGACAGAAGUUUGCCAGGUAGAUGAGCACUAUAGCAAGUAGAGGCAGGGUUGUGUUUGGGGCUCCUACAAAGGCUAUCUUGCCUCUGCGUAAAUGCAUGCUUCUGCUUGUGGAGCAUUUCCAAGACUUAUACACUCCACCGCGCUGCUUUUCAUUAUGGUGUAUGCAGAUGUGACAAUGGAUUGACCAUGACCUGUACACUACACCACGCUGUUCUACAGGCAUCUUCCUUUCAGAAAUUAGGCAGCACUGAUGACAUGUAUAUAUAUGCAAUGGAAUGGAUGGCUUCUUCUUGUGAACUUGAGAAGUAGAUUUGGAGAUGCAUAUCAUGUCGAGAACAAGGUGCUCACUUCUCCCAAUUCUAUUUCUGCUGUUGCUGAUCCAGCCAUCGUUGACAGCAUCAGGGGGGAUUACAGUUGGCGGCGGUCGACCUUAAAAUGGCUGCAAUAGGCAUGGGGAUAUAAGUAAACUUCCUUGCUCCUCUGUCAGCCCUGUGAAGCCGCCUUGUGAUGAUCCUCGUCGAUGCUAAUACCUAGGCACAAGUUGAAUAAAUUUGGAACAGUUCUUAACAUCUUCUGGAGAUGCCACUUGGAUAAACUCAAGGCUCACCUUGAGUCUUUAUUUGCUUAGUUUCUGAAUCGAAUUGCUGGUAGCUAGAUAUAUAUCCUGGAGCAUCGGUGAUUUCUUCUUGUAUUAAUAUAAGAUAGCUUGUGCCACAUUGUAAUUUUUAUUUCACAACACAUGUAUGUAAACAAAUGGUGGCCGUAUUCAUCUGAUAUAGUCGAGGAGCAAUUUUCAAGAAAUUAUGCUAGCAUGUAGAAAUUGAAAGCUUGCCUUGACGGCACACUCAA